rnacentral:rRNA from 1 species
UCGAGGAUCCGUUCAGCGUGAGGUGGAAACACCAAGCGUGGAUUCCCGAUGCUUUAGGUCGUAAUAGAAACUGGUCAAUAAGAUUGAACAACCUCGUGGCAUUAGAUCAUUCUGUGCAAGGAACGUGCGCUUGCGUACACCGUGUCUAGUUGAACGACUGACCUAUCAGUUUGUUUGCAGUGUCUUGCAGAGGCGUUGACGUGUAACGGAGAAUCAGGGUUCGAUUCCGGAGAGGGAGCCUGCGAAACGGCUGCCAUGUCUAAGGGCAGCAGCAGGCGCGUAAAUUGCCCAAUACUAGCUUGAGCGAGGCAGCGACGAGAAGUAUUUACCUUGUGCUCUCUACGAUCACGAGGAUAGAAAUGGAUAAUAUGCAAAGCCAUUACUGAGGAUCAAUUGGAGGGCAAGUC